UGCAGUAUGGUGUAAUGAUGCACGCGGGAUUUUCUUACAAUGGGUUUUGCACAUGCUCUUUCCCGAGGUCCUUGUUCGAAUCAAGGUACUGCCU